rnacentral:lncRNA from 1 species
UGGUGGCGCAGGGUAGCGGGAAACCUGAUCGGUCGGGUUCGCCGCCGCCGUGAUGGUCGUCAUCUUCCGGUACAUCAGGAUCUGCAUGUAGAGCAGCAGCGUCCAAGCAGCAAGAAAGCUUGAGAUAAUCAAAGAACAACCAGCUGUAGUAGUAGAGGCUUAAUUUCAGAUGUAUAGUUAAUCAAGAGGAAAAAAAUCAUGAUUAGAUUAGAUGCAUACUACUCUCGAUGUUGCUGGUAAAGGUGUUGGUUAGUUGGUAAAUCUGUAGCAAGCGUGGUAUGUAUGUCUGUCUGUCUGUCAGUGAGGCUUGAGAACGAAAUGCAGCAGAGAAAAAGGAGUAUAUGAACUCUUAUCAGAACAUGGGUGAAAUAUUCUCUGCAUGAUGUUCAUGUUUAACUUUUGGCUGUGUUGUACCUCCUAUCAUUUCUCACAUGUUAUCAGCUUAUCUUCUAGUUCAUCACAAGGUGUGAGCUGUGCCAAAAUACUGACUCGCAUUCUAGGGGUCUUUUUUGAGAUAGCUGACAUCG